UGGGGAAUUUUGGACAAUGGGCGAAAGCCUGAUCCAGCAAUGCCGCGUGUGUGAAGAAGGCCUUCGGGUUGUAAAGCACUUUUGUCCGGAAAGAAUCCUUGGCUCUAAUACAGUCGGGGGAUGACGGUACCGGAAGAAUAAGCACCGGCUAACUACGUGCCAGCAGCCGCGGUAAUACGUAGGGUGCAAGCGUUAAUCGGAAUUACUAGGCGUAAAGCGUGCGCAGGCGGUUUGCUAAGACCGAUGUGAAAUCCCCGGGCUCAACCUGGGAACUGCAUUGGUGACUGGCAGGCUAGAGUAUGGCAGAGGGGGGUAGAAUUCCACGUGUAGCAGUGAAAUGCGUAGAGAUGUGGAGGAAUACCGAUGGCGAAGGCAGCCCCCUGGGCCAAUACUGACGCUCAUGCACGAAAGCGUGGGGGAGCAAACAGGAUUCAGAUACCCUGGUAGUCCACGCCCUAAACGAUGUCAACUAGUUGUUGGGGAUUCAUUUCCUUAGUAACGUAGCUAACGCGUGAAGUUGA
rnacentral:rRNA from 1 species